UUUUAUUCUUUUAGAAACGAGUAUGCAAAAGUUUAGAGACCGUUCCAAAUGAGAGUGAUUUUUGCCACCAAUUAAAUGAAUGUGCUAUGGAUUACUGGAGUAUGGAGCUGGAUUCAAAACAGAAAGAUACCACAGAACAAUUUAUUCCUCGGACUCCUAAGGAAAAGCCAAAUUCAAUGAUUUUUCAAAAUCAUGGAAGCAAAGGUACUGCCCAGCCUUGCCCAAGAUGUAUUGCAGGAGAAUCUGGACACUUCAACCAUAUUAUGGGCUUCUAGAAGAAGAGAGACUGCAAAGCAGCAAUGUUCAGUUUGUUUUUAAAACACAGCCUUUGUACAUGGAGAAAUGAGAAUGUAUUCUCAGACAAAUCUUGACCUGAGGGAGAAGGCUGCGGGAAUCUGGAUUUUCAAUAACAUAAGACAAUAAAGCUCAGACUUCUAACCUGCUGCA
rnacentral:lncRNA from 1 species